CCUACGGGAGGCAGCAGUGGGGAAUAUUGGGCAAUGGGCGCAAGCCUGACCGAGCAACGCCGCGUGAAGGAAGAAGGCUUUCGGGUUGUAAACUUCUUUUCUCAUGGACGAAGCAAGUGACGGUACCUGAGGAAUAAGCCACGGUUAACUACGUGCCAGCGGCCGCGGUAAUACGUAGGUGGCAAGCGUUAUCCGGAUGUAUUGGGGGUAAAGGGCGUGUUGGCGGGGGCGAAAGUCAGAGGUGAAAUCUCAGGGCUCAACCCGGAGCCUGCAUUUGAAACAGUGUUUCUUGAGUGCUGGAGAGGCAAUCGGAAUUCCGUGUGUAGCGGUGAAAUGCGUAGAUAUACGGAGGAACACCAGUGGCGAAGGCGGAUUGCUGGACAGUAACUGACGCUGAGGCGCGAAAGCGUGGGGAGCAAACAGGAUUAGAUACCCGAGUAGUC
rnacentral:rRNA from 1 species